rnacentral:rRNA from 1 species
CAUUAAUAAUUGCGAAUGGUCGCCUUCGGUGCUGGCUCUUGCAAGUGCACGUCGGUGGCUUUCAUCCAAUACCCCUGUGAACCUUUGGCCUCCUGCUAGCUUCGGCUGGCAGAGGAUUUUUACACACUCGAAUGUAAUGAAAACUAUUGUCGUGCGCAAGCACUAAUGUACAACUUUCAACAACGGAUCUCUUGGCUCUCGCAUCGAUGAAGAACGCAGCGAAAUGCGAUAAGUAAUGUGAAUUGCAGAAUUCAGUGAAUCAUCGAAUCUUUGAACGCACCUUGCACCCUUUGGUAUUCCGAAGGGUAUGCUCGUUUGAGUGUCAUUGUACUCUCACACUCUCUGGUCCUUUGGAUUCAGGGAGCGGUGGACUUGGGUGUUUGCUGCUUUCCUGGUGGCUCACCUCAAAUGCGUUAGUGCACCUCUUGGUUGGACAUAGUACGGCGUGAUAAGUAUCUUCGCCGGCACCUCGCAAGAGGGUGGCCGAUUGGGAGCUCUGUGCUUUCAAACCGUCUUCGGACAAUCUUUGACAACUUGACCUCAAAUCGAGUAGGACUACCCGCUGAACUUAA